GAACCGAACCGCACUUCUCCUGCA
rnacentral:siRNA from 1 species